GGUAAUACAGAGGGUGCAAGCGUUAAUCGGAAUUACUGGGCGUAAAGCGCGCGUAGGUGGUUUGUUAAGUUGGAUGUGAAAGCCCCGGGCUCAACCUGGGAACUGCAUCCAAAACUGGCAAGCUAGAGUAUGGUAGAGGGUGGUGGAAUUUCCUGUGUAGCGGUGAAAUGCGUAGAUAUAGGAAGGAACACCAGUGGCGAAGGCGACCACCUGGACUGAUACUGACACUGAGGUGCGAAAGCGUGGGGAGCAAACAGGAUUAGAUACC
rnacentral:rRNA from 1 species